UGCGUAGGCGGUGCCGUAAGUCGGAUGUGAAAUCCCGGAGCUCAACUUCGGAACUGCAUUCGAUACUGCGGCGCUAGAGGACUGGAGAGGAGAUUGGAAUUCAUGGUGUAGCAGUGAAAUGCGUAGAUAUCAUGAGGAAGACCAGUGGCGAAGGCGGAUCUCUAGACAGUUCCUGACGCUGAGGCACGAAGGCUAGGGUAGCGAACG
rnacentral:rRNA from 1 species